rnacentral:antisense_RNA from 1 species
CUUGAGGGAGCCCAGCCACAGCGGCCGCUCCGCCGGGCGGUCCUGGCCGUAGGUGGCGAGCAGGGCCUGCGCCUC